UCGACCUCUACCCUUCCGUCGUAAAUAUCAAUAUAUCGUUAGGGUUUCAACCAAACGGAUCAAUACUUCGAGUCUCCGUUCCGGAAACACAAUAGCGGCUCAGAUGAGCAAGAGGCCGAAGUUCAUAGGAGAGGGCGUGUUCUUCGGAUAGCUGAAUGAGGGCUUCAAGUUGUCUUAAGAUUUUAUGUAAAAAAGUGGUGCAAAGAGAUGUGAGGUUAUUGUAAGUGAAAAAUUCAGGGCAUAGUGUGCAAAAUAAUGAAGUUUUAGGGAUGGAUACCUGAUAUCCUUUGGUCGACUUGUCAAAGAACAAGUUGAUUCCGCUGUAGACUUCUUCGACUGGUCUGCAAUACUCGUCUUUCUUUAUCACCUGGGAGUACUUGGUAUCAAGGUCAAAAUUAUGCUCGACUGGGAUCCGAAAGGCAAGCAAAGGGCCAACAACACAUUUGCCUGAUUUGGUCGUUAUGCAUCCUCCGGAGUUAGAUGAGCACUUUCCGCUUGUCAUGAUAACCGAGUUGAGAAUCUUUAGGACUUGUUCGGUUGUAUUUUUGAGUUAUGAUGACUUGAUUGUAGAUUUUGAGUUAUAAUUUGAGUUUGUGUUUAG